GGAUUUAGACGCGCCGACAUAGGAAGUUGGAUCACCUAUAACGAGCCAAUUUCGCCUCAGAAUUGCGCGCGUCACGCUACGCGGAUAACAUGUUCCGAGUGUGUGGACGAUCUUGGUUGGAAGUGAACGAAAAAAGAAAUUUUUGUGAAGAUUCUACUUCUAUUUAGACGAGUACACGCCUCUAAAACAAUCAACUUUACAAACUACCUGUAGCUGCUACGAAUCAGAACUCCCACAGUUAAGUCUUCAUCGCUAGUAGCAGUGCAGAAAGAUCUAUUUCCAGCCUUCCUAUCGAAGUUAAAUUUCAAUCGCCAAUGAUACACCGCCACACCUAGCUUUUCCCUGUCGGUGUACCUCCACCAACCGCAACAAACUAAUGACGACGUUAAGAGUGCAGCCACAGGAGACUGUUGGAACACAUCGAUCAUUCAUUCAACAAAGACGACACACUGCACCAACGGACACCCUCAUCAUUCUCGAUUUACACUACUUACAUUCAAUUGUUAUCGUGUAACUAUACUAAGUAUCCUGUUGCAACCUUCGCGUGCAACAAUCUCGGUAAAUCACACCUACACAUUGGUCCCAUGCAUCGAACCUCAACUAGCCGUUACGGACGGUAAUUUAUCGUAAGAGCAGCAUCGGUACGCGAGUCUGUGUCGUAACAUUUGUGAGUGUAAAUUGUGUAUAUUGUAUAAUAAAGAAAUAGUACUUUAAACAAGCUGAUGAAACAUCAGGAGAAGAAUUUCAUCCAACAGUCCUGAAGAAUGAAAAUUUUAUAAAUUUAAUGACUCGUCCUCCAAAGAAAUCAAAGUAUGUCCUGGGAUUAAUUAAGAUGGUUACUUUGGAUGAAGAAGCUGGUGAAAGACAGUUGGAAGGGGAAAGAAGAGAACGUAGACCGACCUAUACUGAGAAUGAGAACCGUAAUAAGCAAAUUGAAACUGUUCAACUGUAGACAAUUACGGUAAUAAUUACGGCAAAGUGAUGGGGAUUAGUGUGACGUGACCUAGAUUCAUGGAAAAGGUUAGGAACUGGGCGAAUGCUCUUCGAAUGGAACUCAGCUUAAAAUAUACUUGUGGCCGACGUGCAUAAACUAAUCUUAGCUAUUAAAUGACGAUGGCUAGUCAUUUAUACCGAGUUUAACUGCAAUUUAAUGUAAGAUUUAGUGACAUAGAGUACAAAUUUGUAUAAAACUGUAUAACUAUUUUAUUCUUUUUAAAUCGUUACUAAAAUUUAGGAACAAUAAAAUAAGAAGACAUGCACAUGUAUCCAUAAAAUAAAAUAAAAUUGUAGGUGAUUGUAAAUUUGCAAGAACAAUACAGUAUUUGACGAAGAAAUACAAGUAAUAAUGACAGGUUGUAAUCCCAUCCCCU